AUUUGAGUGUAUGUGACAUGUAGAUAAUUUCAAGGCAUGUUACUGAAUAAGAUCAAUGAGAGAAUUGGAGACAUUACAGAGAUAAAAGGGUCAGAGGUCAAGCCCUGGAAGGCUCUUUAAGUAAGAUAUGGCAAGGAGGAGGCAGAAAAUCUAAGAGACAAAAGGAAUGCCCAUUGAGACAUAAUAUCACAGAAGUCAAAAGAAGAUGAUAUUUCAGGAACAGAGAGGUCAACUAAGCCAAAUGCUGCUUUUAUCCCACACAAUAGCUUGGGCUUUGGGAGUACAAAGAGGAAUAUAUCCUAAUUCCUGAACUUAAAGUUCAUAUUCAAAUUGGGUAGAGAGUAAAGCAAACAGACAAUUUCAUUCCGGCAUGUAACUGAUAGUUCAAGGUAUUAUGGGAGCACAUAAGAAGGACAUGUCUGCUAAUACUUUGAGGAAAGCAAUUAAGAAUGGUCUUUUGGAGGACAUGUCCUCUAAAGGAAAUAUAAUAAAGAGUUCAAUGACAGAAAAAUUAGGAGAUGUAGCUACAUAGAAGACAUUUAUAGUAAAUAGAAUAGUUUGUAAAAGGCAAAAGGGCAAAGUUAUAUAACUAUAGGUAUGCUCUCAGGAUGAAUAGGACUUAGAUGCAACCAUAGGAUAUAAGUCUAAAGAGAUCAGCAGGACUCUGAUCAUGGACAACUUUGAAAGACAUAGUAAAGAGUUCAAACUUUUUCCUAAAGGAGUCAUGGAAGAAUUAGAAACAGAGGCCAAUUAGGAAAGCAAUUUGUAUUUUAAAACAUUGUCUGUGGCAGUCAGCCCCAGGAGUGUGGCUUAAAAUGAGUAAGGAAGGCUGAUAAUAAUAUUCAUAUCAGAAUAAGUACCUGUGAUAGAAAUUUCAAAAUUCCAUCAAGAAAUGAUGAGUACCUAAAAAAAGAGGAAGUAAAAUCUUAAAGAAUCUUACCUAAGUCCAUCAAAGCCCAUGCAUCUUAUAACAGAUGAUAAAUAGUAAAGAUGGACACUGUUAAUAAUUAAGAUAGAGGGUAACUUUGGUCCAGUAAAUGGAGCCUCUUAGGUUGGAAUUUGGUCAGAAAAAAACUGGUAAAUAAUUCCUAACAGAUGGCAACACACCUCUGAGCUCCAGUUA